rnacentral:lncRNA from 1 species
UAUGAGAUCAUGUUGGCUGAAACCAUCCCUAGCAAGUGAGGUAUAAAGUACUAAAUCACAAAUUAAAAACAAUUGUUGAGAGAGAAGAUGGAGGAGGUUAACGACAUUACAAGUUACUGAAGAAAAAGACUCC